GUACUCUCACACUCCCAAUCCCUUUGGAUUGGGAGCGGUGGACUUGGGUGUUGCCGCUUGACUGAGGCUCACCUGAAAUAUGUUAGUGCAUCUCUUGAUUGGACAUAGUACGGCGUGAUAAGUGUCUUCGCCGGCUCCUCGCAAAGAGGGUGGCCGAUCGGGAGCUCUGUGCUUCAAAUCGUCUCAGGACAAUAUUUGAUA
rnacentral:misc_RNA from 1 species